rnacentral:rRNA from 1 species
UACGUAGGGUGCAAGCGUUGUCCGGAAUUAUUGGGCGUAAAGGAGCUCGUAGGCGGUCUGUCACGUCGGCUGUGAAAACCUGGGGCUCAACUCCGGGACCUGCAGCCGAUACGGGCAGACUAGAGUUCGGCAGGGGAGACUGGAAUUCCUGGUGUAGGCGGUGAAAUGCGCAGAUAUCAGGAGGAACACCGAUGGCGAAGGCAGGUCUGCUGGGCAUUAACUGACGCUGAGGAGCGAAAGCAUGGGGAGCGAACAGG